AACCCCUCGCGGGAGGCGACCGACCAAUCCCGCGUCCGCACACAGAUAGCCGCCCAACACCCGGGUGGGAGGGGGAGCUAGUGACGGCGCUGCAGGGCUUACGUUCGCCAGCCUCCAUCCUCAACUAGCCAAUCACCACCCUGGGAAGGGGUCGCGGUUUUAGCGUCAGAAAGGCUCCGGACGCAACCACUGUCUUGGCAUCCACACCCACACCUCCAGGGGGACUCACAGGUUCUUCCGGGAAGCUGCUCUGCUCGAGUCUCUGCUGCUCCAAGAGGGGCUGCAAGCAAAAAGGCCAUGAGAGGCUGUCAAGAAAUGUUGAGGUCAGCAUGUAGAAGGCCUCGGUAAAGAAGCAAGGCAUGGGGGAAACUGAAAAGUCUCAGCUCUGGUUUGAUGAAACAGGCAGGAUAGAGAAGAGAAUCCAAAAAGAAGGUAUGGACAAGAAGUAAUGGGGAAGAUGGAGUCUGAUGACUCCUAACAUUGUGGUGACAACAGGACACUCUCAGCUCACACCUGGGUGAUGCCAGUGCUGUGCUC